CCCUUAGAUGUUCUGGGCGGCCCGCGCACUACAUUGGCACUAGCAAAGAGAUCCUAGAUUGAAUUCUUUGGGGUAUUCUUCUAAAUGGUGUCGUGACUGGGAUAAAUCCUUGUAAUUAUUGGUUUUGAACGAGGAAUUCCUUGUAAUCGCGGUUUAUCAGCUCGCGUUGAAUGCGUCCCUGCCCUUUGUACACACCGCCCGUCGCUCCUACCGAUGGAUCGUCCGGUGAAGCUCACGGAGUGACUGUUCACGCAACGGUUUACGAAGUGAAAUGGACCUCACGAUUUAGAGGAAGGAGAAGUCGCAACA
rnacentral:rRNA from 1 species